GAGCCAGCUUAGCCUAGCGGUUUCUUCGCAAUCUGAGUAACUACUCAUUCAGUAGUCAUUCAGCUGCUACUCCCUAACAGUUCAGGUCCCGUGGGCGCUGCCUGGCUUUUUG
rnacentral:vault_RNA from 1 species